CCUACGGGUGGCAGCAGUGGGGGAUAUUGCACAAUGGGGGAAACCCUGAUGCAGCGACGCCGCGUGAGUGAAGAAGUAUUUCGGUAUGUAAAGCUCUAUCAGCCGGGAAGAAAAUGACAGUACCUGACCAGGAAGCCCCGGCUAACUACGUGCCAGCAGCCGCGGUCAUACGUAGGGGGCAAGCGUUAUCCGGAUUUACGGGGUGUAAAGGGAGCGUAGACGGUUAUGUAAGUCUGGAGUGAAAGCCCGGGGCCCAACCCCGGGACUGCUUUUGACACUGUGUAACUGGAGGACAGGAGGGGCAGGCGGAAUGCCUGGUGUAGCGGUGAAAUGCGUAGAUAUCAGGAGGAACACCGGCGGCGAAGGCGGCCUACUGGACUGAAACUGACGUUGAGGCUCGAAAGCGUGGGGAGCAAACAGGAUUAGAUACCCGGGUAGUA
rnacentral:rRNA from 1 species